AUGCUAGAUUUGAUGGUAUACUAAACCUGGAGUGAUGCAGGGAAAAUUAGUAUAACCCCUGUAGAUGAACGCCACACACAUUUGUGAAGUGCUUCAUAUAUUC
rnacentral:snRNA from 1 species